CCCUUGUUGGGUAGCACGAUUGUCCCGUUGUUGCCUGUUCAGCCUGCUAUGUGGAUGNUAUGCAUNGACAAGCGGCCGAUGUGUCAUCAAAUUCCAUGUGUCUCAAAGCGCUUGUGCUUUGGAAGUGCAUUUGGAUAUUUGUUGUGUCCCAUGGAUAUUGUGCCUGUUGGGAGGUCUAUCGGCUUCAUGCUUGUAGACCGAUGAGGUCGCCUUUGCACGGAUCAUUGCUGCGGAUGAAACUUCUCAGACAUGCUGUCGGUUAGGCGC
rnacentral:misc_RNA from 1 species